UGGGGAAUUUUGGACAAUGGGCGAAAGCCUGAUCCAGCAAUGCCGCGUGUGUGAAGAAGGCCUUCGGGUUGUAAAGCACUUUUGUCCGGAAAGAAAUCCUUGGCUCUAAUACAGUCGGGGGAUGACGGUACCGGAAGAAUAAGCACCGGCUAACUACGUGCCAGCAGCCGCGGUAAUACGUAGGGUGCAAGCGUUAAUCGGAAUUACUGGGCGUAAAGCGUGCGCAGGCGGUUUGCUAAGACCGAUGUGAAAUCCCCGGGCUCAAUCUGGGAACUGCAUUGGUGACUGGCAGGCUAGAGUAUGGCAGAGGGGGGUAGAAUUCCACGUGUAGCAGUGAAAUGCGUAGAGAUGUGGAGGAAUACCGAUGGCGAAGGCAGCCCCCUGGGCCAAAUACUGACGCUCAUGCACGAAAGCGUGGGGAGCAAACAGGAUUAGAUACCCUGGUAGUCCACGCCCUAAACGAUGUCAACUAGUUGUUGGGGAUUCAUUUCCUUAGUAACGUAGCUAACGCGUGAAGUUGACCGCCUGGGGAGUACGGUCGCAAGAUUAAAACUUAAAGGAAUUGACGGGGUCAUAGCUGUUUCCU
rnacentral:rRNA from 1 species